rnacentral:lncRNA from 1 species
UAAUUAAAAUUUUAAAAUACACGUAUUCCGAAAUGUAUAUAUAAAAAUAACAACUGCACUCGUUGGAACUAUUUUGUAUAUAACUCUACAGAGGUAUCCAAUAUGACAAUAGCGAGUAAUCAUUUUCAAAGUGUUAAAAUGGAUUUAUUUAAACGAAAUUACAUAAACCCUCGAGGUUUCUGUAAUAAGAUAAAAACGUGG